rnacentral:rRNA from 1 species
AAAUUGAAGAGUUUGAUCAUGGCUCAGAUUGAACGCUGGCGGCAGGCCUAACACAUGCAAGUCGAGCGGUAGCACAGAGAGCUUGCUCUCGGGUGACGAGCGGCGGACGGGUGAGUAAUGUCUGGGAAACUGCCUGAUGGAGGGGGAUAACUACUGGAAACGGUAGCUAAUACCGCAUAACGUCGCAAGACCAAAGUGGGGGACCUUCGGGCCUCAUGCCAUCAGAUGUGCCCAGAUGGGAUUAGCUAGUAGGUGGGGUAACGGCUCACCUAGGCGACGAUCCCUAGCUGGUCUGAGAGGAUGACCAGCCACACUGGAACUGAGACACGGUCCAGACUCCUACGGGAGGCAGCAGUGGGGAAUAUUGCACAAUGGGCGCAAGCCUGAUGCAGCCAUGCCGCGUGUGUGAAGAAGGCCUUCGGGUUGUAAAGCACUUUCAGCGGGGAGGAAGGCGGUGAGGUUAAUAACCUCAUCGAUUGACGUUACCCGCAGAAGAAGCACCGGCUAACUCCGUGCCAGCAGCCGCGGUAAUACGGAGGGUGCAAGCGUUAAUCGGAAUUACUGGGCGUAAAGCGCACGCAGGCGGUCUGUCAAGUCGGAUGUGAAAUCCCCGGGCUCAACCUGGGAACUGCAUUCGAAACUGGCAGGCUAGAGUCUUGUAGAGGGGGGUAGAAUUCCAGGUGUAGCGGUGAAAUGCGUAGAGAUCUGGAGGAAUACCGGUGGCGAAGGCGGCCCCCUGGACAAAGACUGACGCUCAGGUGCGAAAGCGUGGGGAGCAAACAGGAUUAGAUACCCUGGUAGUCCACGCUGUAAACGAUGUCGAUUUGGAGGUUGUGCCCUUGAGGCGUGGCUUCCGGAGCUAACGCGUUAAAUCGACCGCCUGGGGAGUACGGCCGCAAGGUUAAAACUCAAAUGAAUUGACGGGGGCCCGCACAAGCGGUGGAGCAUGUGGUUUAAUUCGAUGCAACGCGAAGAACCUUACCUGGUCUUGACAUCCACAGAACUUUCCAGAGAUGGAUUGGUGCCUUCGGGAACUGUGAGACAGGUGCUGCAUGGCUGUCGUCAGCUCGUGUUGUGAAAUGUUGGGUUAAGUCCCGCAACGAGCGCAACCCUUAUCCUUUGUUGCCAGCGGUCCGGCCGGGAACUCAAAGGAGACUGCCAGUGAUAAACUGGAGGAAGGUAGGGAUGACGUCAAGUCAUCAUGGCCCUUACGACCAGGGCUACACACGUGCUACAAUGGCAUAUACAAAGAGAAGCGACCUCGCGAGAGCAAGCGGACCUCAUAAAGUAUGUCGUAGUCCGGAUUGGAGUCUGCAACUCGACUCCAUGAAGUCGGAAUCGCUAGUAAUCGUAGAUCAGAAUGCUACGGUGAAUACGUUCCCGGGCCUUGUACACACCGCCCGUCACACCAUGGGAGUGGGUUGCAAAAGAAGUAGGUAGCUUAACCUUCGGGAGGGCGCUUACCACUUUGUGAUUCAUGACUGGGGUGAAGUCGUAACAAGGUAACCGUAGGGGAACCUGCGGUUGGAUCACCUCCUUA